AGUGAACGCUGGCGGUAGGCCUAACACAUGCAAGUCGAACGGCAGCACAGUAAGAGCUUGCUCUUACGGGUGGCGAGUGGCGGACGGGUGAGGAAUACAUCGGAAUCUACUUUUUCGUGGGGGAUAACGUAGGGAAACUUACGCUAAUACCGCAUACGACCUACGGGUGAAAGCAGUGGAUCUUCGGACCUUGCGCGAUUGAAUGAGCCGAUGUCGGAUUAGCUAGUUGGCGGGGUAAAGGCCCACCAAGGCGACGAUCCGUAGCUGGUCUGAGAGGAUGAUCAGCCACACUGGAACUGGGACACGGUCCAGACUCCUAAGGGAGGCAGCAGUGGGGAAUAUUGGACAAUGGGCGCAAGCCUGAUCCAGCCAUACCGCGUGGGUGAAGAAGGCCUUCGGGUUGUAAAGCCCUUUUGUUGGGAAAGAAAAGCAGCAGGUUAAUACCCCGCUGUUAUGACGGUACCCAAAGAAUAAGCACCGGCUAACUUCGUG
rnacentral:rRNA from 1 species